GGGGUCGUAGCUCAAUCUGGGAGAGCGACCGCCUCCAGAGCGGUAGGUUGCAUGUUCAAAUCAUGCCGGCCCCA
rnacentral:tRNA from 1 species